UCCUCUCAUCACUAUGAAUGUUUGCAAAUAUUUUAUAAAAUAUCUGCGACUGCAUUGCUAUGUUAUGGUGGUGUAGACCAUCAAGAAUUUGCCAAUAUUAUCCAUGCUGUGAGAUUUUGGUUUUAGAUUUAAAUGCGAGUACUUGAGGUUGAUGUUACAAUAGAGGGACUCCCCUCGUUUAAGUUCCCUUAGAUGGAUACAUUCACUACAUCAACAGAAGAAAAGACCUCUUCAAAUACUGUCCCCGUGACCCGGUAAAUGCUGGGGUGGGAUAUUAUUUUCUAAAAUAAUAAAUAAUCAUACAGUUAAAAUAAUCUCACAGAUAUCGAUGGUUGGAUUAUGUUUGAUGCUUUUUUGCCAACUACUUUGGCACCUCGUUUGUUUUGGGUCCAGUUCUAGCCAUGGUUGAUCUCUUUCGUAACCAACCAACCUAGACAUCCUUUUCUUGUGUACAAAAAAACCUGUUUACAAAAGCUUCAUAAUAAAUGUGUUUCUGCUAUGUUUGUUUACUCUAGUCUUGUUCUCUCACGCUAAUUCACAAUGUCAUUUUGUUUAUAAGGAAAUGCCCUUCUUUCUCUAUAUUGUCCAAUGUUUUACACACACUCUCUCUCUCUCUCUUUAUCUCUUUCUCUCUCUCUCUCCUUCACUGGUUGAUCUAUAUUUGUGGUCUCUGUGUGUGUCUGUGUGUCCGUCAUAGUUUUCCGUGGUUGCUAUUGGAUAACUCCAGCCGCUCCUGUCUGAACCAACCCUUGUCACAGUCAGCUGGUUAAAUGCUGGGAGACAACCUCAGUCUUGCACUUUGAAUAUUCCAUGCUGGAGCAAAGUAAGAUAUCCCAACAUGUCCAACAGGAUGGAAAUUCAUCAACUUCUCAGUGUUUUAAUUCGAACCGGUUCCAUCUUACGUAACCCUUUUUAAAGAUGGUAAGGAAUUUGCCGAGGCUGCUGCAUGGUAGAGUGACUCCGUAAAAAUCUAGUUUGUGUCGAAUUGUGUACAAGAAUGCUAUUUCAUGAUUUAUUAUCAAAGAUUGAGAUUUUUUUCUUUUUUUUUUUUGUCACUUUUCCCUGUCUUCUUUUAUGCUUUGUUAUUAAAUGUUAUUAAAGUUUCUUUUUCAGUAAGAAAACUGAAGUUUGGUAGGGGUGGGGGUUUCAUUUUUGAUUUUUUGUUUUUUUUGUUGUUUUUUUGUUUUGUUUUUUGUUGUUUUUUUAUAUGCCAGACUGAACGAAGUCAUCCAACUUUUGUCAUCUGCAACUUUGAAUAAAAGAUGCCAGUGCUAUCUUGAUUUAAGGACUGUUUUUAUCUUAAA